rnacentral:rRNA from 1 species
AUUGAACGCUGGCGGCAGGCCUGACACAUGCAAGUAGAACGCGUGGCGGACGGGUGCGUAAUGUCUGGGAAACUGCCUGAUGGAGGGGGAUAACUACGGGAAACGGUAGCUAAUACCGCAUAACAUCAGAUGUGCCCAGAUGGGAUUAGCUUGUUGGUGGGGUAACGGCUCACCAAGGCGACGAUCCCUAGCUGGUCUGAGAGGAUGACCAGCCACACUGGAAUUGAGAAACGGUCCAGAAUCCUACGGGAGUCAGCAGCGGGGAAGAUUGCACAAUGGGCGCAAGCCUGAUGCAGCCCUGCCGCGUGGAUGAAGAAGGCCUUCGGGUUGUAAAGUACUUUCAGCGGGGAGGCGUUACCCGCAGAAGAAGCACCGGCUAACUCCGUGCCAGCAGCCGCGGUAAUUC